CUUUAUCAAUUGACUCUGCCGAAAAAAAUUAUUGGGUGCACUCACACAGGCACGCCAUAUUACUAAAUAAAUAAAGUGUAAUAGAAGAAUGACAGAAAAGAAGGAAAGAAACAAAUAAAAUCCAAAACAAUAAUGGGAUGGAUUACCUUAUAAGUAAUUCUAUAUAUACUAAAACCCAAUGCAACUAAACACUGUAGCUAAGCACAGUAAAAUUACGAAAAUGCCUCCAUUUAAAACUGUACAGCCAGCUUUUCCUUUCUUUUUGCACAGUAAAAUUGCCAUUUUGCCCUUGACUGAUUGUUUUGUAUUUUUCCUGUUUUGCCCUCUCUUUCCUUGGGAUGUAACUAGCUGUUGUUUAGGGUUGAGAGGUGUCUGGUUGGAUUUCAACUAGCUGGUUGGAGAGCUAUAGGGGUAAAAUGGGAGAGCUAUUGGUUCUUCACUGUUUAAAUCUGGAGGGUUCCACUGUUUUACAGAACCACCUUUUUUCCCACCGAAUUGCUUGCCUUCUUCGUUUCCAUUCUUCUCAUCUUCCUCUGCUCUUCCAAAGUGCUCACUUUCCAGCUCCCUUGGGUUCUAUCAGGAAGGGGAUUAAAUCUUACAGAUUCGCUGAGGUAUUUCCAGCGUUGUUAUUCUUAAUUUUUUUACUCAAUUGUCAAUUAAUUUUUCUACUCAAUUGUCAAUUAAUUUUUCUGACUUCUCUGUUCUCCCACCAAAGCAAUAUAUGACCACUGGUCUGAGAAAAACAGAGUGUAGUUUGUGAGAGAUGAUGCAAAGCCCAUUAAAUUGGUGACACAAACCAAACUUACAGCUAACAUUGGUGACAUAAACAGAUCAGUCAAAGCAUAAAAACCAAGUUUUUUCACAAAAACAAGAACAGAGAAUUUAUUUCUAAAAAUGAAAUCCAUCAAGCACACACCUCUAAUUUGAAGCCUCUUCCACUGUCACUGAUCAAAUGGGUUUUACCGACUAACCUCCUUAAACAAAGCACCGUGUGUUGAGCUAGAGACUGGUAUAGCUGUUGACGGGAAGAGCUCUGCCCAAAGAAGAAGAUUUCCUUCAAAUGGUAGACAACCAUGAAAUAGGCUAUUCCAGAUUUGGCCAGCAACCAUGCCUCAGAAACCCAAUUAGAAAGAAAGAGACUUUAUAGAGAGAAGUGAAGUGCAUGGGUCUCUCUGUUUAUGUGUGCCUGUGUGUGUGUGAGAGAGAGAGAGAGAGAGAGAGAGAGAGAGAGAGAGAGGCGUGUAAG
rnacentral:lncRNA from 1 species